rnacentral:rRNA from 1 species
GACGAACGCUGGCGGCGUGCUUAACACAUGCAAGUCGAACGAAGUGGCGAACGGGUGAGUAACGCGUAAUCAACCUGCCCUUCAGAGGGGGACAACAGUUGGAAACGACUGCUAAUACCGCAUACUGAAGGUGGGGAUUCCGUCUGAUUAGCUAGUUGGAGGGGGAACGGCCCACCAAGGCGAGGAUCAGUAGCCGGGCUGGGAGGAUGAACGGCCACAUUGGGACUGAGACACGGCCCAGACUCCUACGGGAGGCAGCAGUGGGGAAUUUUCCGAAAUGGACGAAAGUCUGACGGAGCAACGCCGCGGGAGUGAUGACGGCUUUCGGGUUGUAAAGCUCUGUUAAUCGGGACGCGGUACCGGAAUAGAAAGCCACGGCUAACUACGUGCCAGCAGCCGCGGUAAUAC